rnacentral:lncRNA from 1 species
AUGGGGGGCCAGCUCUUCCUCUGGGUCAGGGUCGGGAACCGAGCGGGGGCUUCAGGGCCGGAUACUUCGCCAGGGGAGGCGGCGCGCUCGCCCCGAAAGCCUCUGCCUGCUCGCGGCGGAGAGAGGCUGGGCGGCCGCGGGUGCGGACAGCUGCCCGGUUCCGCGGCUCUCGCGGCCCGGGGGGCCCCCUGGCCGGGCUCCCCCACCCCUCCCGUGGCUCUCACCCCCACGCUCCCUAAUCCAAUUUGCAACUUGGCCGCGCGCCGCCCCCGGCUCGGCCCCCACCCCCGCAGCCCCAGUUCCAGAGGCGGGAGGAUCGACUCCUGCAGCCGGGUGCUCGGUGCUCAUGGCCGCAGAGGCGGGGUCAAGGUGACGUCCGGGGCCGGGGGAGCCAGGGACCACAGUGGCAGCAGACCCUUCAUGCCCGGUGCCUUUGGAACUCGCAGAUGCAAGAGGAACACGCUUCCUGGCUGCUGUCCCCAUGGCCCCCAUGCCCUUGUGGCCUCUUAUAUGCUAGGAGGAGCCCGCCAAGGGCCUCUUCUUCAGGGAAUGGAAGCAGCCGACUGGACCGGGAUUGGAGUGUGUGUGUGAGGCUCGUGGAGGGAGCGGGAGGCGGAGAACUCCAGCAGCUGGCAUUCUUCGGGGGCAGUCUCAGCUGGCACCACGGCGGGCACCAGGCAGUGGCCGGAGCAGGGGGUCUCCAGGUGCCCGGGGCGGAGGCUGGCCCCGCUGUGGGCCAGUUUGCUCUCUUCCCGACAACAUCCAGGCAUCCACCUGGGGGCGCCAGAGGGCAAGAUACGGCUGUACUCGUUUCUGCCACCAGAGGGCGGCGUCGGCACAUUGAUUUCUGCUGCUCCUGCGAUCUGUCCAAACCCGGCUGGGCGAGGCGGAACCCAGGUCGAGGGCUGAGCCCGGAGAGGCCGUCCUGGCGCGGAGUCCUGACCGCGGCGUGGGCAGUGGGAAGGAAUCAGGGCCCUGCAGUCGGACGGCGUGUUCGGGUCUGCGUUGCGGCGCUGCACCUGUGAUGCCAGCAUCCCGUAUCCACUGUGGGUUUGAGUCCCGGCUGCUCCACUUCCAAUCCUGCUCCCUGCUGAUGUGCCAGGGAAGGCAGCAGAGGAUGGCCCAAGUGUUUGUGCCCCUGCACCCACAUGGGAGACCCCAGAGGAGUUCCUGGAUCCUGGCUUCUGCUUGGCCCAGCCCCAAUUGCUGUGGCCCACUGGGGGAAUGAACCAGGAGAUGGAAGAUCUCUCUCUGUCUCUCUCUGUCUUUCUCUGACUGCUUUGCAAGUAAAAAUAAAUGACUCUUUUUCAUUUUUUAAGACUGCA